rnacentral:misc_RNA from 1 species
CCAAAAUCUCUUGAUCAGAAAUUUUGCUACAGUUUCCUGGUCUGCACAUUCAUUGAUGGUGGAAUCAACAACCAUUCCAAUGCUUUCUAAUGUGAUUUAGAGUGGUUUGCAAAGAUGGAAUAUGGGUUCUGAUGAUUUUUCUAUGAGGUUGAUGCACAUUGACUUAAAAGCAAGAAUGGAAGAUCCAAAUGAACAGUCCUUUGAGCUCACCUUUCCCUUUCCCUGUGUGUCUGGAAACAAAAAGGAAGGUUGUUGGUCUUUCCUUGUUUAUUUCCAUCC